rnacentral:rRNA from 1 species
UACGUAGGGGGCAAGCGUUGUCCGGAAUCAUUGGGCGUAAAGAGCGUGUAGGCGGCUCGAUAAGUCCGCUGUGAAAGUCAAGGGCUCAACCCUUGGAUGCCGGUGGAUACUGCAGGGCUAGAGUCCGGAAGAGGCGAGUGGAAUUCCUGGUGUAGCGGUGAAAUGCGCAGAUAUCAGGAGGAACACCGAUGGCGAAGGCAGCUCGCUGGGACGGUACUGACGCUGAGGCGCGAAAGCGUGGGGAGCAAACAGG